rnacentral:rRNA from 1 species
CCUACGGGAGGCAGCAGUGGGGAAUAUUGGGCAAUGGACGCAAGUCUGACCCAGCAACGCCGCGUGAAGGAAGAAGGCUUUAGGGGUGUAAAAUUUUUUUAAGGGGGAAGCGCAGAAGACGGUACCCCUUGAAUAAGCCACGCCUAACUACGUGCCAGCAGCCGCGGCAAUACGUAGGUGGCAAGCGUUGUGCGGAUUGACUGGGUGUAAAGGGCGUGCAGGCGGGUGGACAAGGCAGAUGUGAAAUCCACGGGCUCAACCCGGGUCCGGCCUUUGAAACUGUGUCCCUUGAGUGGCGGAGAGGUAAUCGGAAUUCGUAGUGUAGCGGUGAAAUGCGUAGAUAUUACGAAGAACACCAGUGGCGAAGGCAGAUUACUGGAUGCUAACUGACGGUGAGGCGCGAAAGCGUGGGGAGCAAACAGGAUUAGAUACCCGAGUAGUC